UACUUAGUAUUAUUGAUUGUUUCUACACCUAACGAUUCAAUGGUUCAUUGUUUCAAGCUUUUGUUACUUUUUAUACCUUUGACUGCUACAUGUCUUUUUGAGAUGAACUGAUGAUGCUCUUUGAUCAGAGAGCGAAACGUCUUCGAAUAAAUAGAUGAAGUAGCCACCUUCUUUGUCUUAUUUCUCCACCUAUUGACCGAAAAA
rnacentral:lncRNA from 1 species